AUCAAAUACAUGCAUCAAGAAAUUUCUAAUUGAUGGGUUUCCGAGCCAUAAAAGGUUGGGUGCCUUGCUUAGGGGCACAUUGGCAGUAGCAUCCUUUUUUCCCCUAUUCCACAAACUGCACCGUGUUGGUUCGGGAUACGCAACCCCUCCAUUAACCGGGGGCUGUUUUCUCCCUAUAUAACGUGUAAAUGCCUUUUUCUAAAUGGCUUCUUUGUUUGAAGAGUGAAUGUGUCUUUAAGAAGUUCUGUUCUCCAAUAGGACCGUUUUUAAUUGCGAUUAGGUGUACUUAAGGAGAAACAGGAAACAUGUGGAGAGGGAGUUGUGGUCACAUAAAUCUGCCACGUAGAAGCUCGUAACUCUUUACUUAUAACUGUCAUUUGCACACUAUCCAACAAAACACAUCGCACCAAAGAGACGAUACUGUAGGAAAAACUGUGCAUCUCGCUGAAACUCUGCCAGCCCUCCUUUGUUUUGCGGGCACACAACUAAACAAGGCAGCAAAGAACAUUGGUUGAAUAUCUAAGUGAAAGGAAUGAGUUGGUAUGCUGAGACGAGGGCUUCAGGCUCCGUAAUAGAAGCAUAGCUUUCUCUUUUCUCUAUUGUUUUUUGUUUUGUCUUCGAACUCAUUUGGUAGCACGCAACCCCCCCUUCACACACACACACACACACACACACACACACACACACACACAGACACACUAUCUUCUCUCUAUGUCCUUCCAAGUUGUGCGUACAGUGUAUUUGUGUGGGAGUCAGUGAUAACAGGUACACGUGGGUGAAAUUGGUUCCAGACGGGCUUUUAGUCUAAAUGUGCAGUCGCUGAAAAACGGCAAUAGCUCCUCAUACCAGCUGGGAAGGCAGGUGACUCAGUCAGGAGAUCUCUGAAGGGGGGAAAGGCGCCGAGGGCAAAUAGAGGGCAUGUAAAGCAGCGCAGGAAAAUGGAAAAUUCCAGAAUUGACAUGCUGCCAGCGGAAAGGAAAGAUGGAGGAGAUUGAAAACCGAAAGGGAUGCAUGAUCACUGAGCACCGGAGAAGCUGAAAAAGUGCGUAACAUAAUAAAGAAUCAACACUUGAAAUAGUAUAGGCACUUGCUAAUGAGUACAUAGUACAACAUGUCAAAUAGAAAGUCUCAGGUGAACACCCCUGAAAGUUAAGCAUCAAAAUAAUUAAAACUCAAGGACUGAUGAACUGAUAUCUAAGCUCAGCAAAGGCAGCUUAAACAUAACAUAAUGUAUAUCAAUGUAAUAUCGCAGUAUGAAGAUGUAAAUAAAUGAAAACAAAAAUGCAGAUGAUACAUAUCACAUAUCUUUUCUUUUAGGGCAAAGCUACAAGUUUUACAGGUGCAAUGCGAAAAGAGUAAUGCCUCUUUAAAAUAAAUUGAGUAUUACGCAUGCUGCAUUGUAAAUUACCUGCCAUAUGUCUUCACUGACGCCACUUUAUAAAUGUUUUAUAUUUGUGACUCUCACAGAUGCAUCCAAAUGUGUUCAAAACACGCAUACAGGUCCACUGGAAAGCUGGUCGGGUUUUUUAGUCUCUGACUGAUGAAAUAGAUCUGUAGUGAAGGAUAGUUAAGUAAUACCUUCACUAAUAUUAUAUUAUAUAAAGUCAAUGACUGUAUACUUUUGCAAUAUCCCACCUCCAACACGAUGAUUGAAUUGUUCCUCCAUGCAUUAAUAUUGUAUACUUUGUGUGCUGACACGCUGCAACCAUCAAAAACAAAUGAUUGUAAUUAUAAAUCCACAGCCUCGCUUUUUCCAUUUUGCAUAGAGGAACCCUGAAAUGGAUCAUAUGUAUGUAAUGUUUUUUUUUGUGAAUAAUUAAUCUGGUGGGCUGACUUCAGAAUACUAAACAUUAACAAUCGUCUAAAGUGCCAUUAGGGAGCAGUAAUAUCUGCAGCCCCGACCAAAACGAAUACAUUAUCAAUCCACAUUUCAAAUGUUGUCCACAGAAUCACCCAGGCGUCGGCGAAUCCCCCACCUGCGUGUUCCCGGCGAAUCCAUCAACGGCGACACACACGUGCGCGUACACCGUGGUUAACGCCGGGGCCGGCGGAGUGAUCCGUCUUGUGCUUGUGUUGUGGGUAAAUGGAGUUCUGUGUUGUACAGGCAGGCGUGCUCACUCAACGCCGCCCCCGCGUCUCCCCGGGCUCUGUUUCCAACCACGGCCGCAGAAAGGCAUCAAUCAUCUCUCAUGGCCAGACACUUGGAUGGACGUGGAAUAUUGAUAUGGCUUUCAAGAUGUGGGGCAUGAAUAUGAUCUAUGACACCUAUCUGCCUCGCUUUGCAGCCGCUCAGCAUGUAGCCGGUGACGCGUUGGCCGAGUGUUUAUUGCAAAGGCUUCUUACGGCUCAGAUGUUGCCAGAAUUUCUCAUUACAAAUAUUCGCAUUUCCCUAAUAAUAAAGCAAGCUUUUAAUGCUGUGAAUCGUUGUGUUCGGUGCUGCUUUGUGAAUGUGUGUGUGUUUUUUUUACACGCGUACAAAAGUGUGUCACAGUUUUACAAUUAACUGGUGAAUGGAAAGUUCUCCCUGCAGACGUCUCCUCAUUACCUGCUGUGUGUACUUGGAGCUCGCCCAUCGUUUCCCCUGGACUGGAAAAAAGAGUGUCAUCGUCACCGUAAAUAACAUUGUCCCUCCACCCCCCCCUUUUAUUUUCACCUGGCAGUCCUUGUGUGGUUUCCGCAGCUCUCCAUGCAUGAAGAUUUACUGCUUUAUAUAUCAUUUAGGAACUCAUUUAAAUCAACUCCCCUUAUGUUCAGCCAGAAACAAAGGAUGGUUCAGUAGAUGUAUUUCUCUACGUAAGGCGGCCGGACAGAGAUCUUGUCACAUAAAUAAAAAGUUGACUUCCGUGCACGUGUGUAAAUAUUAUAGUUACGCAAACACAAAAAUAAACACAUGAUGCCUUGAGAUCUAGGACGGCUACUGUCUCCCUCACAAAUGCCUUCCCAUUGAUAAGUGAGGAACAUGUCCUCCUUUAGCUGACAGACAAAAUGGAUUCCAUCCAAAAAUGUGGUUUCCUCCGCUCCCCCCAGCUAUGGAAAAGCGGGAGCUUGCAAAGGUUCAAAACAAUGUGCUUUGGAUGAGAGCAGAGCAGAUUUUACACAUAGAUAAAUCCGGCUUAGUUCUCUUGGAGGACAAACGGAAGUUGUCCUGUUUAGGUAAUGGUGACUUACGAUAUAAUUGGGUUUAAUGGUUUGAAAAAAAAAGUUUUUUUUGUCGAUGUGUUUCCACACAUCGACAACGAUCAAGUCCCUCUUUGUCCGUCUGCUUGUGUGUGUGCGUGUGUGUCUGCCGCCGCUCUGGGCGCCGCCGCCUGUCUCUUGACACCGUGGAUCUGUGGCAGGCCGUGAAAUUCGGACACGUGCGGGACGGCUCUCAACUAAGACUUCAUGCCUUUUUCGUUCACACCAAUAAGCUGCUCACAUCAAUGACUUUGACCGUUGUAGAGAUCUAAUAAGCACUUAAUCAAAAUGUUGAUUUUUCGUACGGACUCGCGAGUGUUCAAUAUGUGUCAUGUAAGUAUUUUGAACUACCUAUUUACUGCCAGCAUGCAGUGUAGGAAGUAUAGGACCGCCUGUUGAGCCAAGAACAGUUAACGGGGAAAUGUUCCUGCUGCCGGACAGACAUGGCAGAUAGACUGAGACCAUCUGUGUCCUCGCUCGCACCGAACAGGGGGACGAUGUCGAGGAAAGGGAUGAAAAGGAAAGGGAACGAUGCAGUAAAGCCCUCCAAAAACUGUUGGUGGUCACAGCCUGGUGCCCACAUCCCCCUAGCUGCCUUCAGGCUUGACCUGUGUAUGUCUAUUCCUCCCAGUCUGGAAACCUCUGGACACACACACACACACACACACACACACACUCUGUCACAAGUGCACACAAACCGAUCUCCUUGUCCUGCAAAUGCAGACAGGUGUGCAGACUCAGUCAACAAGAUUCUAACACCGCGCUUUCACGCCGUAUGCACUCACAUAAACACACGCUUCGCUGGUACCUGGGGGUGGUGGAGAGGGGGGGGGGGGAUUUAACAGACACAUACAGCAGGUCAGUUGUGCGCAGGUGCUCCCCUGCCGCUGAAGAUCCCACAUGAUACCCCACCGUUUCCCCACAUAAUCGCCUUCUUUCUUUUUCUGUGGUCCAGAUUACCUCUCAAACUGGUCUGUUUUUAGUCUGGUCUUUAUACUAUAACCCGGAAUAAAAAGACACCGUGCUAUAAUGCAAAUUGCAUUGGGCACCAGAGAGGAUGCAUAAGAUGCUGCUGAGGGACUCACCUGUGUUGCAGGGGGAAUAAGUAUCAAAGAUCCGUCAGCAGGAUUUAUAAGCACAGCUAUCCCCUGACAAAAAGGAGGACGUGAUGCCAGGUUUCUGAGAGCAUUGGAUAUGAAGCGAAGCAACAGUAAAUCUGCGUGGUGCACGGUUAGGAUGCUUUUCUCAUGAAAUCCAGGGAUUCCUGGUGGAAAACAGCUUGCAUAGUAAAUCUGUAUGAGGGUCAUAAAAAGGUCUAAUAUCUGAUGUUAUGCUAAAGAAGAAGAAUACAUAUUUCCACAUCCAGGGUUGUACAUCACAGCUGAUGUAUAACCGGUCGAAAUUCAAGACGGAUUGUGAUGUCUCACCACAUGAUCAAUAUAUCUCUGUCUCCCAGUUAAAUGAAAAAAAGACAAUCUUCUGCUAAUGUAUCUCCUUUAUUACUCGAAUUCAUCAUCAAGUGAGAUGAGAAAGAAAAGGAGGGCGGGUGGCAGCAGCUCGGCAUGUUGAAUAUGAACAAAGUGAGUCACACAUAACAGCCUGUCGGCUACAAACAGGGCAACCGAGCUUCCUCCCACCAUAUGUGGACGUGUGCUUCUGUAUGAAUAUGAUAAAACACACCAGAUUUUCAUCUCCAUCUUGUAUCUGAAGCGUGAAUCCCGCUUCAGGAGUUUGGUGUUGCCCUGCAGCCUUCCUUCGACUGCGGCUUUAAUUUUUGAUGAAUCCUGUAAUAGCUAGAAUAUAUUAAGGAAGUGGCCUUUGUGCGCGCGGCGACAGGCAUAUUGGGGGUGGGGGGGGGCUUCGCCAUAUGUUGCAAAGUGUGGAUGAAAUUGGCUUGGUCUCAAAUGGAGAGAAAUCUAGAGAAUUUGCUGGAGUCCUGGAGGGAAGACAAAGAGUAAAAAGCAGAGAGAAAAAAAUACACCCCGCUCAUUUCCUCAUCACCUCCAACAAAGCAAGGUAUUAAAGAAACACCUGUGGUUUGAGGGAUGAGAUACCCAGAGCUCCCUCCUUUUCCUCUCCCAAUUGAUUAAUCUUCCAUUUCCCCCCCCCCCCCCCCCCCUGCUGCUGCAUCCCUUUCUGGCCUGGGGUAUAAGCUCUUCCCCAGACAAAAAAAAAGAAAGGCAGAGAUGCUGACAUGUAAUAAAAGGGGCUGAGGCUGGUCUGGCUUAUUUCCCCCAUUUGAUGAGCAGACUGGAGAGAGGGAAGGAGGCCCCAUUUUUCUACAGCAGAGAUAUGAAAUGACUUACUAACAGAUGCUCGCUAAUGAAGUGUUGACAGGCAGGGUGAAGGGGCCGUGCAAAGCUACUGUAUGGGAAAUGAUUGAAAGAGGAGGGGAAAAAUGGAUGGUGAAAAGACGGAUGAGGGCAAGGGAGCAGUGUGUAUAUGUGUGUAUAUGUGUGUGUGUGUGUGUGUGUGUGUGUGUGUGUGUGUGUGCACAAGCUUAAGCUUCAGUUCUCCAACCUCAGAAAGUGUGCUGUGCUCGGUCACCAGGGGAACAGAUAGCUUUUAGCAGGCUACCCUGAGGUGGAAGAUACAGCUCAGCCUCCCUCUUUGCCUUCUCCUCGUUUCAUCUUUCUCCUUCGAAGCAUUUUUUCUUUGGUACCCCUGUGACACCGAGGUAGGUUUGAAUGGAAAUGAAAGCGUUCCUUCUCGGCAGACCUUUUGUUUCUAAAACAGGUGGUGUGAUGUUUUAAUGGCUGUGGAUAAAUAACAUGGUUAAUAUAGAAGUAUUUUUAUUUUUAAAUGAAUUGCAAACCUCUCAGCUUUGUUUCCCAUUUCCAUUGUUUCCCUCUGUGAUAAGAUCCGAGCCGGAUGGCAAAAGUCGGAGACCGACCCCCUGUGGGUGAUGAAACACAAGGACACACAUGGUGGGGGGGUGGGACGGCGAGGGGUCUGCUGGGCUGAAGUCCGACAGAGUAGGUGAAUCUUUUUAUGAAACAAGAGCUAGUUUGUCGGAAAAUGCGCACAGGAAAAGAGAAACAAUGGCCCACCCAUUGCUCCCUGGACCCACCCGUUUGACAAAUAGAGAAGCCACUUUUGAACUUUUUUUUUACAACUUCCGCCAUCCUGCUUUGAGUCUCACGGAUGCACAUCACAGGAAGCUCCUGAUCUCCCACGAAAGUUGUUUCUAACACCUUCUCCCUCUGCUCCCCUUUGUUCUCCGCAAUGAGCACCUAUGCUCUGCCGCCGCCUCCGCCAUUAGAGAACAAAUGUACCGAGCAACGGCAAUUUCUUUGAGGAGGCAUCGCCUCCUGCUGCUCCAGAUUACAGCUCAUUAGUAGCGGCGUCGGAGAGACACAGCCCACACCGCGGCUCCCCCCCGAUCCCCUCGUCGCUUCCUGCAAUCCCGGUGUGGCGGGACACCGUGACAAAAGCGGCGGAGGUGGUGGUUGUGACGGUGGGGUGUUUUGGACGGGGGGCAAAGACAAGCAGCGAGGGGACUCACAGUUCACCGUUUGCCAGCUGCUGGUGGAGAUGCGAAGAAGCGCUUCGGGGGACUGGAAUGGCGUUGAAGUGAAAGGAAUGCCAGGUUGUUGUCCAAGAGGACGGCGUGUCGCGUUGCUGGCUUGAUCGAGGUAGGGAUGAAAGAUUUGACUUUGGGAGACGAGCAAGAAGGAAUGUUAAUGUCUCUAUUUGACUCGCUGUCAACCCUUCCUGGGAAAAUGUCGGGGGUUAAUGAGAGGUCAUAGCGUCCAUGUACGGGGUCAUCAGCUCGGGCUUGUUUCCAUCAAUAGGCUACAGUUUGUGGGCUGCUUUGGCAGUUGGGGUCUUGUACAUGUUGCUCGUGUCUUUUGUCUUUUGUUUUGCAAGAAUAAAACACGUUGGGCGAGCUCCCCUCACGCUGUCAGCUGUGCCAGGCACGGCGCGGUAAUUGCCAUUGAACAGCUUUGUGUGUCUGCGCGUUCACAUCCUUUAUCUGUUUCCCUCUUCCUUCCUGUUGCAGAAGUCCAAUGGAGCUCGAACACAUCAGUCCCAGUCUCCUCACUAUCCUUGAAAAAGUUUUGGCAAAGUUGCAAAAGGAAACAGAUGCCAGAUGUGUGCGCUGUAUGCGGAGUCUCUUAAACUGAACCCUUUUCUUUGCUUUUGUUUAGUUAUUUCCUGGGAGAGGAAUGCAGACAGGUUUCCAUGUCAAUCAGGACACAAAGAGUCAAUAGCUUUGUAGCUAUUGUCGAAAUGGGUUUUAUUUCCAUUCACUAUAAAUACCAGUAUUUCACACAAGAGUAACAUGUUGAUUUUACACUGCAGCAACUACAGGGAAACGUCAACGGUUGGAACUUCUGGGAUGCGAAAGCAGAUUAUGACGAGUAAGAAUUGACCCCUCAGAUCGGGUCAGUUUCGGUUUGCAUCUUCUGCCUCUCCUCAAGGGGUCGGCCUCCGUGUACACGCGGUUGGAUGAUUUGCAUCCCCUCUAUCCACUGGGGCCCCAUCCAGACUGAAAAAGCCGGGACGAUAACAGUCACGUAGGCAGCGGGGGGGGCAACUAAUAAGAAAACAAGUCAGUCGGCGUGCCCCGUCCUUCGCCCACAAAGAGUUGCGAGCCAUGAGACUGCUGCCCGGAGCGGCUCUCCUUCCGCCAUCCGUAUCGCAACGUGACCUCUGACCCUGCAGUUACCCCGACAGGCGGCUGGACUCAUUCUGCCUCCAUGAACACUGGAGCACUCACCAUGCGAUACGUCAGAAACGAGAGGCUCGCGUUCCCAAUGUCAACAGUCAUCGAGCGUAAAUGACAUACUGACUAUCAGCUGUUUUCUGCAUCCAUAAUAACAUAUAUCUCAAUGUGCAUUUAUAUAAAAAAUAAAUACAGGUGAUUGAUGCUAUAAAGAUAGAGGAGUAAUACACAUUUUGAUUCUGGUGGCGAAAAUUUCUAAUUCCCUGAGCGUCCACAGAGGGUUAUGAAAUACGCCUCUUGACCCCCCCCCACAUUCAGCUGUUAUAGGAGGAUUUUUUUCCCCCUCCCUUAUUCCUUUCUUCCAUUUGGCUCUUUUCUCAGGCUAGUCUGACCGCCUCCGUCAGCACACAACCUCGGCUCAGCUGACCCCGGCGCACGGAGGCUCACCUCAGACCGCCGCCGGGGUCAAACCCAUUUCUCAGCCGGAGCUGUGCCGACUGCCUAAUGCGGCGCUCACGAAGCAAGACGUGUUCCUUUGUCCUUUCAUAGUCGAGGAAACUUGUCCAACUACUGUUGGUUCAAGGUCAGAUAUCAGCAACCUGGACUGAGGGCCUUCACAAAGGAGCAAUGUCAGUCAUGAACGCUCGAUGACCGGCCUUCAAGUGUAUCCGCCACGUCCCGGCGUUUGUCUCUGGAACACCCCCCCUCCCCUUCCUCCUCCGCCGUGACAUCCCUUACAUCCCGUACCCCACAAUGUGUCGGCAGGCCCGGGACGCUCCCAGUCUUGACAUUUCCCAUCCAAACAAUGGCGUCGUCAUUUGUCAAACCCCCCCCACUUCUAUAUCUGCCUCCCCUCCCGGCGUCCCCAGGGGGGAGCGUAGUGAAGCUGCGGUGUGAUAGGUGCCUGUCAGGGCCGCUGCGUUUGGGCGCACGCGCCCGUACACGCCGCGUGCGGUGUGAUAGUGACGGAUGCACUGGGCGUUGGAGCACUCGGAGAGAGUGAGUGCAUGUGACAGCCAGUCAAUCAAGCCGUGAUGAGAGGUAAUCACACAAUGGACAGAUCAAUUAGUUAUUUUCUCCCGAGACAAACGGGAGAAUAAACAGUACGGUUCUCCAGGUAAAUGAUUUACAUUCCAUCGCUCUCUCAUCUCCCCCAUUCGUCGUAUCUUCGCUCCUCCCCCUUUCCCCGCUCCUCCCGCUCUCGUCGCUCCACUUUAAAUUUGGCUGUUUGGUUGUUUAUCUCCGCUCAUUUGUCCCCCUGCCGUCUCUCGCUGGGAGUGGCGAGGUGAUCCGGACGAUCGGGGCUGAGUAAUGGUACAGGAGCUCAGCCCGUGAGCGAUGAGAGCGCCGCUUGGCUGGAUCAUUUAUAUUGAGCCUAGUGGAGAACAAACAUAUGCGUCUGAAAGCCAUCAGAGACACUCUGCGGCUGGCUUGAGCACAAGCACGCACAAACACAGGGGUACAAGGGGGGCACACUUUAGGACACGCUAUGCAUCAACCGCCAGCUCUGGUGACUCACCUCUUCCCUGUUUCCCUGUGACACGUGGAGGAAGUAACACGUGACCUGACAUGGGUUGAAGAGUUAUCGUCCCUUCUGGUUUUCCUGCCACCUAUUCCAGCACUGUCAGCUCACAUCAGCCACUUGAAUGGGAGGAUUUAGGGUUGUUAUGCAUGUAGGUCACGCGUUGUUGUUUUUUUUUUCCUUGUUGUGUUCACGAGCUGGAGCAGUGGACAUUCCCCGAGGUUGCGGAAAUGUGGUACAAUCUCGUCUCUCUCGCUGCAUAUCGCACUGUCCUUCGCACUCACUUAGAGGCGGAUUCAGUCGGUGCUUGUCGGAGCAAUUUCACCCGGCAAUCUUUAUUUACCGGAAUUCCACCCUGCGCACACACACACAAACUAAAAUGCACAUUUUUCUUUGAAACCAUCCUUGCAAACGCCUACACAAACAUCUUUGUAUAUAUGAAUACGCAUAAAUAUGAGCAUGUAGUUCUCACUGAUAUAUAAAAAACAUUCAGCGGUUCAUUUUCCAGUUAUCCGCCACACAGUCUUAUGUCCUGCAGUUGUGAUGUUUCUCAGGCAUCCGCCGUAGCCAGGAUACUCUACUCCGGUCUUCGCUCCAUCUUCUUCCUCUGUGUUUUGACAGGACCACACGGCGCUGCUGCUGGUUGCCAGAUUUUGGAUUAUCCCGCCUAACAAUGGGCCAAAAGGACCGUUUGGACCGUCUCUCCCUCCGAGCUGCCAGGGGCCGCUCUGCCCCCCCGGCCCCCCAAAGGCUCUCCUCCCCAUUGCACGCACAUGGACGCACGGCCUCUCUGGGACCAGGCUCCCCCCCCCCUCACAUUGAGACUGUUAUUUAACGUGUCCUUGUGUUUAUGGCCAUCCAGUGGCCCACAAGAGAGCCGGUGAGGUAUAUUCUCGUGCACGCACACACAUUUUUUUACACUUAACAAGCGCACGGCGGCCGGAGAAUAUUGUCGAUUUCUUUCAACUUGGCGAUUAAGAACGUGUACACAUGUGUGCGUUUGUGACGCUCUUUUUCCCCACAGUGACUUUUAUUAAGUUGGCUGUCCGCUGUGCGUCUGCAGAACCUGUCUUUGUGUUUGACAUCUGCUGGGAGCAACGCUGGAAUACGUGACCUCCAGGCGCGCAGACAGAACGUAACCAUGGUGGAGACCAGGAUCAGAUCACACUCCGGCUGUCAGAGUCACGACCCCAACUGGAUCAGAGUGAAACCCGUGAAAUAGAACCGGCGCUUUCAGCGUCAGAACCCCAAACCAAAUCUGUCACUCAAACGGCAAACGGAGACCCAGGAAAGGCAGGAGGAGCAAAUGGGAAAGAGAGGAAUUCCUAGAUAGAAAAAUAAGGUGAGAGUCACAGAGCGAGAAGGAAAUAAUAAGAAACACACACAGCAAAAGAGCGAGACGGGGAGAGAGAGACGGAGAGAGAGAGAGGAGCAGCUGCAAGUGUUCAAAGAGUAUUUUACAGAAGCUCUGCGUGUGGAAACUCCAUCACUGAGUUACACUCUGUUGCGUGUUCUUUUUCAUGGAGACACAAAGCAGCUCGGCGUGGCGCAGAGGGGAAAAGGUGCUUUACACACUGCCCUCACAGAGAGAGAGAUCCUGUGUGAAGGUCGCUCUCUCCUAGAAUAGCCAUUUGAAAUGAUAACUUUCGCGGCAAAAGUUGUGACAGUUUCAGUGGAUUGAAGUGGAGGCGCUGCCACCGGUGUUGCCAUUCAGCCCUUCCUCUUUGUAAAUUGUAGAACCAAGAGGAAGCAGCUUGUCAUGAAAGGACGUUAUUUACCAUCCGUUAUUCGCUCAUGGAAUGGAAUACUGCAGGAAUUAGAGGUUGAUUAUGAUGGAGAAAGUUUGGGAGGCUCAGAGAGUCGGAGAGACACACGGAGGAGGCUUGAUUUCCAUCGCCGUUGUUACCGCGUUGUGCUGCAGCUGGUGAUGAAUGACAGACAGAGAGUUCUCAGCUGGAGGAGGACGGCUAAUGGAAUUGUGCCGCACCAGCCCACGAGGAGAACACACUAGGUUCCUAUUAUUCUUUCUAAAUGCCAUGCCUUGUUAGGAGCAUCCGGCCUCACACACAGCGCGCUCUAAAAAGCCCAACAGAAAAGAUUAUGAUCACAUAUUGUCUCCGCUGACUCCUUUUGUUCUGAUCCAUUGAUUCAUGUUUUUCUUCUUUGUUGCCGCAAAUUAAGAGGGGAUGUGUAGUCGUGAUUGUGACUCUAAAUGCACUUUGGUCUAUUCCAGCCACUUUUCAUUUGGACGGUGUAGCUCAUGAGAUCGCAGAUGAGUUGCAUUUUUGUUCGGCGAUAAUGAGAAAUAUUGCAGCCACAAAAGCGAGCGGGUAGAAAGAGGACCUGAAAAGUGGCCCGUGCGCUGAUUCAGAUUGAGAAGUAAUUCUACGCUGGGGCCGUUCACCCGAGCGUGAGGUCGGCUCAGAUGAGAACGCUUUCGCGUAUCGCUCUCUCACGGCUGCCUGCCCUUGUGUCCUUCAGUCCGCACUGAUCCCCAGUGUUCCCUUCAACUGACCACAGCGCUUUCUUCAACAUGCUUUACAGUCCUAUUGAUUCACUGUCUCACCCACUUUAUUUACCUCAGGAACUAUGAACCGUUAAAUCAAAGCAAACAGGGGGAGAGGAUGAAGUCAUCAGAUAUAGUAGCAUUGAUUAUCCCCAUUAGUUUUCUGCUCACCACCCCACCCCCCCCAUGUCCCACUGUCCGUCCAGUGGAAUGAACUGUGGCCGGUGGCCGAGCAGCAAUGACAGACAAGCUCAUUACUCGGCGCUGAGUACGCCAAGCGGGCUGCCUUCUCACAGGCAAGGACAGAGGGAGCAGGGAAGGAGAAUAACAGCAACGAGGAGAAAAUGAAGACAAAGACAUCAAUUUAUCAUAGAUGCUAAACCGAAUCCAGUCCCUGGGUGCUUCACAGUCUGUCUCUGCAUUUCACAUCCCCCACGCCGCACCAUAUUCCUCAUUCCCCAGUCUGCAGCUUAAACCCCUUUAGAGGAUAUUAUGGUCCCUUGCCAUGAGGAAAGCCCAUUACUCCACCGACAAAGCUUUAUCCAUGGAGGUAUAGCUUUACUUUUUCCACUCCAUAUGUGUGUGUGUGUGCCCAUGAUAAUGUAACCAGAACCGCUACACUCGUGGAGGGUAAUGCCUGUAGCAUCUUGUUUACCGGAUUGGAAGCUCGAGACAGAGAGAUCAAUGAAAAGAUAAAAAGUUGACCUGUCGUGGUAGAAUAAGUGUAGUCUGACAUGUUUGUGAGGGGGCCCCCCCCACCGCCGACCCCGCCCCCCACAAAAGAUAAAGCAUUUUUAAGGACUUUCUAGACCCGUUAUCUUCCAAGGGAGCCUUUGUCUCAAUGAUUUACUUUAUUUGCAGUUUACAAUAAAGACAUCAAAGAUGGCUUGUUGUAUCUUCAGGGUAGUGGGCUUGUUUUAAACUCGUAUUCAAUAGGAAGUCCCUCCAUACUAAUGUACCCUUCUCCCUCUUUUCAUUUAUUUCUUUACUUCUUUCUCUUUCUACAUGAUGCCAGAUUGCCCUUCACUUCAGGUAAUGAAGCCACUCUAUCAAAGGGCUGUACCUCCACCCGCCUGCCGCAUACCUCCCACAAUAGACCACCGUUGUGGUCAAGCCACGCUACACUGCACAGCUUAAAGACACCAUUUGAUCUGUACCUUUUUGUCUUAGGUUUGAUUUUUCCACAAUAGCUCACUGUCACUUUAAAUAUAACUAAAUUACAGCCAUCACGCGUCACUCAUGCCACUUAAUAUUCUAUUGUCUCCAGUCAGGUUGUGUUGUUCUUGGCUGAAUGACCUUGAGAUCUGUCAGUCAGAAUGGAAGGUCCCCGGGAAGGAGGUGGGUGGGGGGGCUUUCUAACUCUCACUAAAGUACCUCACCAAACAAGUAGCCCCGUAGACCACCACUCCACCACUGAGGAGCUUUAUGGGCAUAAACAACAGCGAGACAAAUUCCUUUUCAGGAGCAGAUAAAAUCUCCCUAGUCAUCUAUUCACUGCCUUCCUGUCCCUCCAAAUGUCUGUUUGGUUUUUUUUUUCCUUCCAGAAGUGUGCUGAGUGGGGUCGCGGCAUCGGCGGUAGCAGCAUCUGUCAGUGAGGAAGGGGCCAAGGAGAGGGAGCGCCUCCUGUUUGUCUCCGCCGUCUCCAAGCCCCAGACCAUAGUCUUCCUGCUAAUUAACCUGCUGACACCUCCUUACCAUUUACAUUUUGGGGGGAGGUGGAUGGAGGCACAGCUGACAAAUGGCGAGUUGAUCACUAAAGCUUGCGGAUUAAUUGGACUCUGUCCCCUUUUCUAGCCACACGUUCGCAAGCUUACGCACUAGUGCAGUGGCCAUGGUUGUAAUAUUGCUAUUUUUCUUUAUUUACUUAAAGAAGGUUGAUAUAGCGCCCCCAUCUGCCCAAAUGGCACUACCAAAGCUAUAGACCAACCAAGUGGGAAGUAGAUCUGACAAACAGUUCUCAUACAAAGAAAUCACAAACAGACAAACAGUCAGAAAGAUUUAUAUUUGAAUCUCUACCAACUGCUUUUCUAAAUUUGUUAACGUGAGAUUCCCUUCCGUAUAACCCACUGCCAACGGGAAGGUAAAGUUAAUAUAAGAGACCUUUAGAAACCAUGUGUGAAGAAAAAGGUUUUCAAAACAAUUUUAUAAACCCACCUUACCAGGAGUAGUUUUUCACAUGUGACCAAGCAAGAGGAGGUAACAAAGAAAUGAUGGUGGAGCAAGGGAGCGGGGUGCAAACAUGCCUGCUGACAUGAACCGUGAGGUUAGAGAUGCAGAUGGCAAAACUGGCUGUGCCUCCUUCAGCAUCACGUUGCCAGAGCUGGAGCCAGAGAGCAGAACAUGUUGCACAGUCCAAGUACUAACCUCUUUAACGUGAAAGUUCAAUUUCCUAUCAUUUUCUUUUGCCAAUGGGCCAUUAGCAUCCAUUCUGACUUUUCCACAUUGUGAGAGCAAGUACUUUAGUUCAUCCUUUUGAAAAUGAGUUCCGGAAGGUAAUUGCAUCCAUGUUGCAUUUGGCGUUUUGUUCAUUUGGAGUUCUAAGUUAUAAAUGGGAGCUCUCACAGCGUAUGUUCACGUCAAGCUCUGCUGCUCCCUCUGCCACCACGGGCGACACGCACAUCGCUCACUCCCUCACAGGAACAGGCUAAUAAAUGAGCAAAUAGAAAGGAGGAGGUCCAAGAGGGGGGGUGGAGCGAGAACAAGGAAAUAGAAACAAGAGAAGACAGAGACAAAAAAAAAGAUCAGAGAUUACGACUCUGCAGAUGAAACAAAGGAAAGAAGAAAAAAAAAAUUGAAACUGGGGACGGAAUAAAGAGAAGGAGGGGGAGUUGUUGCUGAGUAGGCAGACGGGCAGAAAAAAUAUCCAGCCCUCCACCCAUCAGAGAGUUCAGCUGUUCAGAUGUUUGCUUGGCGGCAAAGGCAGACAGACAGAUUGCAGCCAAUGAUAUGUGUUGGUAACAUCUCAUAGAUGGACUAAUGACAGGAAGGGAGAAGCAGGCAGAUGGCUCCUGUCAGGGAGAUGCGUUGCAGUACCGUCCCAGUGGUCCGGGCUGAGACUGAGUGAACAUUUGGGAUUGAAUGGAUAAGUAAUGGUUAGUAUAAAGGAAGAAAAGAGGGAACCUGAGUUUCUGCUUUCCUUCUUGCUUGUAUGGGUGCAUGUUAAUAAAAACGCUUGGUUGAGUCUGUGGAUGAAAGGUUUGGCUACGGAAUUACCCUUUAUCCACCAAGGCAAUCACUAGACCUAACAAAUGUUUCACCAGGUACCUCGGUUACAAGCAGGUACCCCAGUUACAAGCAGGUACCCCAGUUAAAAACAGGUACCGCAGUUACAUCGGUUACGAGCAGGUACCUCAGUUACAAGCCGGUACCUCAGUUACGAGCCGGUACCUCAGUUACAAGCAGGUACCUCAGUUACAAGCCGGUACCUCAGUUACGAGCAGGUACCUCAGUUAAAAGCAGGUCUCUCAGUUAAAAGCAGGUACCUCUAUUACGAGCAGGUACCUCUAUUACGAGCAGGUACCUCAAUUACGAGCAGGUACCUCAA
ensembl:lncRNA